ACCUGAAACCGUGUACGUACAAGCAGUGGGAGCCCCACCACCAAAGCAUUUGCUGUACCGCGUUGACGGAGCGAAGCGACGUCAAACCGAUAAAACAGCAGUGUAAAGUGAGCCGCAGGGCGCUUUGCGCGACAGCGCAAAGGCAGGCGGUUUCGCGUAGCGAAAGCGAAUGCUUUGGGGUGGGGUGACUGCGUACCUUUUGUAUAAUGGGUCAGCGACUUAUAUUCUGUAGCAAGGUUAACCGUAUAGGGGAGCCGUAGGGAAACCGAGUCUUAACCGGGCGUUAAGUUGCAGGGUAUAGACCCGAAACCCGGUGAUCUAGCCAUGGGCAGGUUGAAGGUUGGGUAACACUAACUGGAGGACCGAACCGACUAAUGUUGAAAAAUUAGCGGAUGACCUGUGGCUGGGGGUGAAAGGCCAAUCAAACCGGGAGAUAGCUGGUUCUCCCCGAAAGCUAUUUAGGUAGCGCCUCGUGAAUUCAUCUCCGGGGGUAGAGCACUGUUUCGGCUAGGGGGCCAUCCCGGCUUACCAACCCGAUGCAAACUGCGAAUACCGGAGAAUGUUAUCACGGGAGACACACGGCGGGUGCUAACGUCCGUCGUGAAGAGGGAAACAACCCAGACCGCCAGCUAAGGUCCCAAAGUCAUGGUUAAGUGGGAAACGAUGUGGGAAGGCCCAGACAGCCAGGAUGUUGGCUUAGAAGCAGCCAUCAUUUAAAGAAAGCGUAAUAGCUCACUGGUCGAGUCGGCCUGCGCGGAAGAUGUAACGGGGCUAAACCAU
rnacentral:rRNA from 1 species